rnacentral:lncRNA from 1 species
CAUCCCCUGGUGUAGAAAAUGGACAACUAGAUGGGCCAAGCAGCCCAGAGAAGGGUGAAUAAGUUAAAUAUAAGACAAUUUUCUGAGCUUUUCCCCCCUUGUACCACCCCCCCCCCUGUAAUUGAGCUUGGGUGGGAAGCUGAAGGUAGCAAUGACAAUAUAAAAACCUAGCCACAGAUCUUUCUGCAUGACAGAGCCAUCGUUGUUUGGGGUGUACAGACUCAUCCUCUUCUAUUUUGCAUGAAAAGGGGCCUCUAUUGGGCUCCAAUGCCCACAGGGCAGCAGUGUUCAAUAUGCAUCCAAGGCUUGCCAGUUCCAACCUUGUGGGAGGAAGGGAGGGUUUUCCUAGCAAAGUGCUAAGAUUCAAAAGGCCGGCAAUGAGCUCUAAGCUUCUGAGGCCAAUCUGUCCACAGAGAAGAUGGGUCCGAUUUGGCUACUUGCAGCAGCAGCCCUCGUCCUCUUAGAUCUGGGCCCAGGAGCCAGUACCACCAUUUGCCGAGAAUGUACCGUCAGAGGCCCCGGAGAGCUGUGCUUCCCUCGAGGAGUGUGGUGUGUUAGUGAUGAACAGGGCUGUUUCACUAGGUUGCUAUAUAAAGGUAAGGAGUGCUUUCUUUUUGUUCCAGUUCCUCAAUCCCAAGGCAUAACGAAUGAUGUGGCUCCUGUGUCUUUUGUGUUUGUGCAGAAGAAAGAAUGCGCCAUGAAGCGUCAAGCCCCAGUGAAUAUGUCUGUCUUUUAGAGGCUGAGAAAGUUUCCACCGGUUUUAUUUUCACAAAGUUAUGGGUCCUUAAAGAGGCAAAUAGAAGGGGAAGAUAUGGAGGCAGUGACAGAUUUUACUUUCUUGGGCUCCAGCCACAAAAUUAAAAGACACUUGCUUCUUGAGAGGAAAGCAAUGACAAACAUAGACAGCAUCUUAAAAAGCAGAGACAACACGUUGCUGACAAAGGUCCG